rnacentral:rRNA from 1 species
UUAAGCGACUAAGCGUACACGGUGGAUGCCCUGGCAGUCAGAGGCGAUGAAGGACGUGCUAAUCUGCGAUAAGCGUCGGUAAGGUGAUAUGAACCGUUAUAACCGGCGAUUUCCGAAUGGGGAAACCCAGUGUGAUUCGUCACACUAUCAUUAACUGAAUCCAUAGGUUAAUGAGGCGAACCGGGGGAACUGAAACAUCUAAGUACCCCGAGGAAAAGAAAUCAACCGAGAUUCCCCCAGUAGCGGCGAGCGAACGGGGAGGAGCCCAGAGCCUGAAUCAGUGUGUGUGUUAGUGGAAGCGUCUGGAAAGGCGCGCGAUACAGGGUGACAGCCCCGUACACAAAAAUGCACAUAUUGUGAGCUCGAUGAGUAGGGCGGGACACGUGGUAUCCUGUCUGAAUAUGGGGGGACCAUCCUCCAAGGCUAAAUACUCCUGACUGACCGAUAGUGAACCAGUACCGUGAGGGAAAGGCGAAAAGAACCCCGGCGAGGGGAGUGAAAAAGAACCUGAAACCGUGUACGUACAAGCAGUGGGAGCACGCUUAGGCGUGUGACUGCGUACCUUUUGUAUAAUGGGUCAGCGACUUAUAUUCUGUAGCAAGGUUAACCGAAUAGGGGAGCCGAAGGGAAACCGAGUCUUAACUGGGCGUUAAGUUGCAGGGUAUAGACCCGAAACCCGGUGAUCUAGCCAUGGGCAGGUUGAAGGUUGGGUAACACUAACUGGAGGACCGAACCGACUAAUGUUGAAAAAUUAGCGGAUGACUUGUGGCUGGGGGUGAAAGGCCAAUCAAACCGGGAGAUAGCUGGUUCUCCCCGAAAGCUAUUUAGGUAGCGCCUCGUGAAUUCAUCUCCGGGGGUAGAGCACUGUUUCGGCAAGGGGGUCAUCCCGACUUACCAACCCGAUGCAAACUGCGAAUACCGGAGAAUGUUAUCACGGGAGACACACGGCGGGUGCUAACGUCCGUCGUGAAGAGGGAAACAACCCAGACCGCCAGCUAAGGUCCCAAAGUCAUGGUUAAGUGGGAAACGAUGUGGGAAGGCCCAGACAGCCAGGAUGUUGGCUUAGAAGCAGCCAUCAUUUAAAGAAAGCGUAAUAGCUCACUGGUCGAGUCGGCCUGCGCGGAAGAUGUAACGGGGCUAAACCAUGCACCGAAGCUGCGGCAGCGACGCUUAUGCGUUGUUGGGUAGGGGAGCGUUCUGUAAGCCUGUGAAGGUGUGCUGUGAGGGUUGCUGGAGGUAUCAGAAGUGCGAAUGCUGACAUAAGUAACGAUAAAGCGGGUGAAAAGCCCGCUCGCCGGAAGACCAAGGGUUCCUGUCCAACGUUAAUCGGGGCAGGGUGAGUCGACCCCUAAGGCGAGGCCGAAAGGCGUAGUCGAUGGGAAACAGGUUAAUAUUCCUGUACUUGGUGUUACUGCGAAGGGGGGACGGAGAAGGCUAUGUUGGCCGGGCGACGGUUGUCCCGGUUUAAGCGUGUAGGCUGGUUUUCCAGGCAAAUCCGGAAAAUCAAGGCUGAGGCGUGAUGACGAGGCACUACGGUGCUGAAGCAACAAAUGCCCUGCUUCCAGGAAAAGCCUCUAAGCAUCAGGUAACAUCAAAUCGUACCCCAAACCGACACAGGUGGUCAGGUAGAGAAUACCAAGGCGCUUGAGAGAACUCGGGUGAAGGAACUAGGCAAAAUGGUGCCGUAACUUCGGGAGAAGGCACGCUGAUAUGUAGGUGAAGUCCCUCGCGGAUGGAGCUGAAAUCAGUCGAAGAUACCAGCUGGCUGCAACUGUUUAUUAAAAACACAGCACUGUGCAAACACGAAAGUGGACGUAUACGGUGUGACGCCUGCCCGGUGCCGGAAGGUUAAUUGAUGGGGUUAGCCGCAAGGCGAAGCUCUUGAUCGAAGCCCCGGUAAACGGCGGCCGUAACUAUAACGGUCCUAAGGUAGCGAAAUUCCUUGUCGGGUAAGUUCCGACCUGCACGAAUGGCGUAAUGAUGGCCAGGCUGUCUCCACCCGAGACUCAGUGAAAUUGAACUCGCUGUGAAGAUGCAGUGUACCCGCGGCAAGACGGAAAGACCCCGUGAACCUUUACUAUAGCUUGACACUGAACAUUGAGCCUUGAUGUGUAGGAUAGGUGGGAGGCUUGGAAGUGUGGACGCCAGUCUGCAUGGAGCCGACCUUGAAAUACCACCCUUUAAUGUUUGAUGUUCUAACGUUGACCCGUAAUCCGGGUUGCGGACAGUGUCUGGUGGGUAGUUUGACUGGGGCGGUCUCCUCCUAAAGAGUAACGGAGGAGCACGAAGGUUGGCUAAUCCUGGUCGGACAUCAGGAGGUUAGUGCAAUGGCAUAAGCCAGCUUGACUGCGAGCGUGACGGCGCGAGCAGGUGCGAAAGCAGGUCAUAGUGAUCCGGUGGUUCUGAAUGGAAGGGCCAUCGCUCAACGGAUAAAAGGUACUCCGGGGAUAACAGGCUGAUACCGCCCAAGAGUUCAUAUCGACGGCGGUGUUUGGCACCUCGAUGUCGGCUCAUCACAUCCUGGGGCUGAAGUAGGUCCCAAGGGUAUGGCUGUUCGCCAUUUAAAGUGGUACGCGAGCUGGGUUUAGAACGUCGUGAGACAGUUCGGUCCCUAUCUGCCGUGGGCGCUGGAGAACUGAGGGGGGCUGCUCCUAGUACGAGAGGACCGGAGUGGACGCAUCACUGGUGUUCGGGUUGUCAUGCCAAUGGCACUGCCCGGUAGCUAAAUGCGGAAGAGAUAAGUGCUGAAAGCAUCUAAGCACGAAACUUGCCCCGAGAUGAGUUCUCCCUGACCCUUUAAGGGUCCUGAAGGAACGUUGAAGACGACGACGUUGAUAGGCCGGGUGUGUAAGCGCAGCGAUGCGUUGAGCUAACCGGUACUAAUGAACCGUGAGGCUUAACCUU